rnacentral:rRNA from 1 species
AUUGAACGCUGGCGGCAGGCCUAACACAUGCAAGUCGAGCGGCAGCACGGGUACUUGUACCUGGUGGCGAGCGGCGGACGGGUGAGUAAUGCCUAGGAAUCUGCCUAGUAGUGGGGGAUAACGUCCGGAAACGGGCGCUAAUACCGCAUACGUCCUACGGGAGAAAGUGGGGGAUCUUCGGACCUCACGCUAUUAGAUGAGCCUAGGUCGGAUUAGCUAGUUGGUGAGGUAAUGGCUCACCAAGGCUACGAUCCGUAACUGGUCUGAGAGGAUGAUCAGUCACACUGGAACUGAGGCACGGUCCAGACUCCUACGGGAGGCAGCAGUGGGGAAUAUUGGACAAUGGGCGAAAGCCUGAUCCAGCCAUGCCGCGUGUGUGAAGAAGGUCUUCGGAUUGUAAAGCACUUUAAGUUGGGAGGAAGGGCAGUUACCUAAUACGUGAUUGUUUUGACGUUACCGACAGAAUAAGCACCGGCUAACUCUGUGCCAGCCGCCGCCGUAACAC